UUUUGGGAAGGAAUUUUGGCAGAGCCUAAGAAAAUUGGACUGGAAAAACUCUCAUAAGAGGUUUUUCUGGGCCUACAGC